UUUCCGUAGGUGAACCUGCGGAAGGAUCAUUAAUGAGUUGUCAUGGGGUUCGAUGCUGGCAGCCAAUUUUUGGAUGCAUGUGCUUGCCCUAACAAUCAUCUUCCAAACACCUGUGCACAUUUUUGAGGGAGUCUUGAGUUGGUUGCCGCUCUUGGGUAAUUUUCUCACAUUCCCUUAAAUCAUUAUACGCUAUUAACAAUGUUGAACGUGCUCUGUGCCGCAAGGCUAUUAAUAUAAUACAACUUUUAACAACGGAUCUCUUGGCUCUC
rnacentral:misc_RNA from 1 species